rnacentral:rRNA from 1 species
CCUACGGGAGGCAGCAGUGGGGAAUUUUGGACAAUGGGCGCAAGCCUGAUCCAGCCAUGCCGCGUGCAGGAUGAAGGCCUUCGGGUUGUAAACUGCUUUUGUACGGAACGAAAAGACUCUGGUUAAUACCUGGGGUCCAUGACGGUACCGUAAGAAUAAGCACCGGCUAACUACGUGCCAGCAGCCGCGGUAAUACGUAGGGUGCGAGCGUUAAUCGGAAUUACUGGGCGUAAAGCGUGCGCAGGCGGUUAUAUAAGACAGAUGUGAAAUCCCCGGGCUCAACCUGGGAACUGCAUUUGUGACUGUAUAGCUAGAGUACGGCAGAGGGGGAUGGAAUUCCGCGUGUAGCAGUGAAAUGCGUAGAUAUGCGGAGGAACACCGAUGGCGAAGGCAAUCCCCUGGGCCUGUACUGACGCUCAUGCACGAAAGCGUGGGGAGCAAACAGGAUUAGAUACCCUGGUAGUCCACGCCCUAAACGAUGUCAACUGGUUGUUGGGUCCUCACUGACUCAGUACGAAGCUAACGCGUGAAGUUGACCGCCUGGGGAGUACGGCCGCAAGGUUGAAACGUCGAAAGGAUUGACGG